GCUCCGAUGGCCUAGUGGAAAGAGCAUCCACCUCGGAUGUGGGAGGUCUUGAGUUUGAUUCCCGGCCGAGUCA